rnacentral:misc_RNA from 1 species
AACGCUAUCAGCUGUUUACUGUAUAUUAAGGCAUGUGCAGUCGUGUUGGUGGCGUAGUAUUUUUAUUUAUUUUUUGUUCAAUUCCGUUCCUCAGCUACUUUUCCAAGAGCGUAGAUUUGUGGUUUUUUAUACACAAAUUACACAUGAAAUUUUUGCCUGUGAAAUAAACUACAUAUAAUUGUAAAUUGAAAUUUUUUUAAGUUACGAAAUGCCAAAAUUUUUUGUACCUACAUCAUGGGAGAAUUUAGCAGAAGCAAUGAAAUUCCGUUCAAAAGUAUCUUUGGGCGAUAACAGUGCUGAGGCAAAGACAGUCCACGCUAUAUCAAGUACUAGAAAAAAGAAGAAAGUCAAGAAACCCAAAUUAGACACGGAUACAGCAAAAGAUUUGGCUAACGCAAAAGUCAACAAAAGUGGAUUAGAAUUUGAAAAAGUCCACAAGGGCCGAAUUGACAAAAAAAAUGUCGAUAAAAACCCACGGUCACAUGCUAAGGUCGUAAGUACGUCCGGAUAUCGUGGCCCUCAACCAGUUGAUGCGCUGUCAUCCACCAAAUUAAAUCUUAAGGGAACGAAAAAACGCAAUAAAAGUGUACCAAUCGCAGCUUCAAUUUCUAAAGAAGCUGUAAAAUUAGCUGGGUCGGCUAAUACUUCUUUAGAGAAAGAUAAUUCUGAUAGUGAAUUAGUUAGACCAACAAGUUCCCAGGACAUUGGAUUAAAAACUUUUGAAAACACUCUAAAGCAACAAUUGUUAGGUGGACGGUUUCGUUAUAUAAACGAACAGUUAUAUACCAUGGAUAGUACAGACGCGAAUGAAUUUUUCAAAUCAGAUGCCGAAGCCUUUAAUGCAUACCAUGCUGGAUAUCAACAGCAGGUGGAAAAAUGGCCUAUGAAUCCACUUGAUCGUAUAAUAAAAAUGAUUAAACGGUUACCAAAAUCCCUAGAAAUUGUAGACUUCGGUUGCGGUGAAGGUCGUCUGGCUACGAUGUUGCCCAAUAAGGUGUAUUCAAUGGAUUUGGUGAGCACCCGCAGCGAUAUAAUAGCAUGUGACAUGGCUUGUACGCCACUCAAUGACCAGUCGGUAGAUAUAGCCGUUUAUUGUCUGUCAUUAAUGGGAACGAAUCUAAAAGAUUACUUGUUGGAGGCGAAUCGCGUUUUACGUCCUAACGGUUUGGUAAUAAUUGCAGAGAUCCAAUCACGGUUCGAUGAUUUGCGGCAAUUUAUACGCGGACUAGAAGCUUGUGGAUUCGAAUUACUGAAGAAAGAUAUUAAUGAGCGGUUGUUUUAUUUUUUUCAGUUUAAAAAGGUACGAAAUGUUGGAAAAGUAGUGUUAAUACCGCCAUUUUCUCUGAAGCCGUGUUUAUAUCGGAAACGAUAAUUGAAGCAUUAUCGUUAUGACGACCUACAUUUCAGAAAGAAUGCUACUAAAUUUAUACCUAGAUUCAUAUGUAUGUAAAAACACAACAACGCUGUUAAAACCAUAUUUUUUCUUAUCUUCAAAAAACUUGCGAUGUCUAUAUACGAAAUGGAAGAAGUCGUCAGAAUUGGGAGACAAAAGAAUUAUGUACACAGAUGUAAAGAAAUCAAUCAGAGAAAGAUGUCGUUGUUCUCCUUUGGAAACAGCAGAUUUUCGUAAAAUUUAUUUCACUUAUCUUUGUUUAAGCUGCUAUAGUUAAGUGGAAGUGUAUUUUCAAAACCCGUAGAAGUUAA